AUCUUGCUGACGAGUGCCAAAUAGAGCGAAACCUAGGUCCAGGGU
rnacentral:hammerhead_ribozyme from 1 species